rnacentral:rRNA from 1 species
CGGGAGGUAACGCGUGGGCAACCUGCCUCAUACAGGGGAGUAACAGUUAGAAAUGACUGCUAAUACCGCAUAAGCGCACAGCAUCGCAUGAUGCCGUGUGAAAAACUCCGGUGGUAUGAGAUGGACCCGCGUCUGAUUAGGUAGUUGGUGGGGUAACGGCCUACCAAGCCGACGAUCAGUAGCCGACCUGAGAGGGUGACCGGCCACAUUGGGACUGAGACACGGCCCAA